rnacentral:lncRNA from 1 species
UGGGUGGUUGGAGAAGACUCUAUGUGCUAAGGAAGUCAUCUCACUAGUUUAAGGUAUGAAAUUGAAAUUUUUUCCAGAUCUGUUCGCGUAGAAGACUUACCCGUAAGUAGUCUAGUUUUAGAAGACUUACGGGUAAGUCUUCUGGUUAAACGGACGACUUACUUGUAAGUCGUCAUCUUUGUUUGUUAAAAACAAUCUAGAGAAUAACCUAGACGACUUACUGGUAAGUCGCCUAGGAUAAACGAGUUAUUUUUGCAUUUGA